CAGGCCCCUGCGAGCAUUUUCAAAAUUCAAUUAUUUUAGACAACAGGCACAUAUGCAAUACUGACAUAAUCCCGAAUACCACACGUUUCCCUUUUAUGCAGAUAUGCAAUGGCAAGCCCUUCCAUGUGUUCCAAAAGUAAAAUUUAAGCUCUAAAUUAAAGAAGAUAUUUCUAGUCAGAAACAAGCAAAAAUGGUGACUGCAGAGUAUCAGAAGCCCAAGGUACAGAAAUUGUGAGAAGUGUCGAAUGAUUUUAAGGAAAGAGUCGUAUUUGAAAAUGCAAGACUCUUUAGUGGAGGUCAAGCAAGUCAAUAUAGGUAGAAUACUCUGCAAAAUUAUGCGAGUGAGGGGAUGUCAAACAAUGGGUCAGGAAAUGCAUUGUUUUUCUGCAAAACAAAAGCUGAUUGCCAUUACAUAAGUCACUUUAGCAUCAUGAUAAAUUCAGAAAUAAACCAAAAAACAAGACACGCAAAAAUAAAAAAAAAACAUUUAAUGAUGCUCUCUCCACACUGGGAUAAAUAAAAACAAACACAUCACAUCUAAUGUGGACAUAUCAGAUGCCUUGUGAAACAUAAAGGAACAAUUCAGUUUCGAGCUAUGGCACUUGCCACAUAGAUGUGGGGGGGCCUUGCACCAAUAGUGAUAGUUACCACUGCAUUUAGAAAUUGAAAGCAUUCGUGCAGACAAGGAUGAUUCUUUCUAUUCUUGGCUACCACUUCAAAUGCCUCCACCAAGUGUUACAAUGCUGCACGCAGCCAUACUAAGGAUCUCGCAGCAACACCUGCAGGUAAAAAGCAGAAGCAGUCAAAGUGCUGGUGUGUUCUGGACACUAUGUUUGAAAACAUUUAGGCAAGAAGAGUGCAAGAAGCAGACAUAACAACUGCAUUUAUUUCCAUAAUUCCCCAUUUAAAUGGCCUUUUCUUUUUGCUUAGACAAUGCCUACGCCUAGCCACAGCAGCUCCCUCAUACAGACUCCGCAAGCCAAGAGGCCGUGGAGCCAAAUGCAGGCAGCCAGCACACCUCGAACAGCCACCUUGACUGCGGGUGUGUCACCCUAGUCGCCAAGGAAACAUUUGAGGGAAAGUGACAGGCAAUGUGAACAGCCACUUCUCCAUGUAAACAAUACUCUUUCUCUCGGAUGACUCCUACGCCUCGCCACGCCAGCACACUUGUGCACAAAGAUGCCGCAGAGGCACGUGCAGGUCAGAGGCAAGAAGCAGUGGCACUGGUGUCGACUUUUACCCAAUUUCUUUUUCUUACACUGAGGCAGCCAGCACACCUCGAACAGCCACCUUGACUGCGGGUGUGUCAGUAGAUUCCUGUUGUACAUAUGCUCAUAAUAAACUUCAGUAAACUUGAACUUCAUAAUAAACUUGAAGGCAAAUGGGA